GGCGCCCGUCCUAUCCUAUCCUUUCCUGCAGCUUGUCCGUCUUCCGACCCGUUUCACAUAUCCUUCGUGCUCGUUUCCCGAUAAAACCGGCGGCUCUAGGAGCCGAAGUGCGCGUUGGAGCGGCGGGCCGCUGAACGCUUGUGCGUAGGGAUAUAGUGCGCGUGUUUUCAUUAAUUAGAUGGCGUUGUUAAUUAAUUGCUUUUGAAAUAUCAUUGGAAUAUUUGUACUAUCUCGUAGGGCACCGAUUGUGCUGGUUGUAAGCGGAUAUUGUGUUUUCCGGAAUUUCGAAUGCCGCGCUGGCAGUCACGUGACCGGUUCUGAUGUCGAGUCCGACUGCGCGGAAGGCGGUCUUUUCGUUCCCCGCCAUGAUUGGAGGCGGAUGUGUUGCGGGUGCUCCGGAUUUUGGUACCGGUGAGUGAGGUUCUAGAGGUUUGUAACUGCUGAAUCUAAUAUGGUAACUACUCAGUUGAAUUUAUGUGAUGAAUAUUUGUUUUGUUGUAUAACUUUAAUGUGAAAACCGGUUUAUAUGAGCUGAUAUGUUCGAUUCUCCGGGACAGUGGCUCGGUUGCCCCCGAUUCGGGGAGGACAAGCUGUGGAGCUUGUUUGUGGAGGCUGCCCUGGUGGCCUCGUGAGUUCGGUCGCCGUGGUCGUUUGGCAGCGCGCCAGAGACUGGAUAAGCCGUAACAAUCAAAUGAUCGAAGACGGGAUCCAGAGCGGUCCAAUACAGAUCUGUCCACGGCCAA